rnacentral:rRNA from 1 species
GGGUCCUACGGGAGGCAGCAGUGAGGAAUAUUGGCCAAUGGGCGCGAGCCUGAACCAGCCAAGUCGCGUGAGGGAAGACGGUCCUAUGGAUUGUAAACCUCUUUUGUCGGGGAGCAAAAGACGCCACGUGUGGCGUUCCGAGAGUACCCGAGGAAAAAGCAUCGGCUAACUCCGUGCCAGCAGCCGCGGUAAUACGGAGGAUGCGAGCGUUAUCCGGGUUUAUUGGGUUUAAAGGGUGCGCAGGCGGAAGAUCAAGUAAGCGGUAAAAUUGAGAGGCUCAACCUCUUCGAGCCGUUGAGACUGGU